GGUAUGAUUUAUCUGUCCCGCAACGGUUAACGUUUGUGUGUGACGGUUUUAAAUCUGCCAUCCUUCUAGUGAAUAUAAUAUUAGCCUUUACUGGUUUGAUAUUAUACUUAAGCUAGAUCUUUUACUUUGAAAAAAUUAGAGUGUUUCAAGCAGGCGUUUUGCUAUGAAUACAUUAGCAUGGAAUAAUAUGAUAGGACUUCGGUUCUAUUUUGUUGGUUUCUAGAGCUGAAGUA
rnacentral:rRNA from 1 species